rnacentral:rRNA from 1 species
CACAUGCAGCGAGCGUAGGUUUCCUUCGGGAGACUGAGAGCGGCGACGGGUCGGGAACACGUGUGCAACCUGCCUUUAUCAGGGGGAUAGCCUUUCGAAAGGAAGAUUAAUACCCCAUAAUAUAUUUGAUGGCAUCAUUAGAUAUUGAAAACUACGGUGGAUAGAGAUGGGCACGCGCAGGAUUAGAUAGUUGGUAGGGUAACGGCCUACCAAGUCAACGAUCCUUAGGGGGCCUGAGAGGGUGAUCCCCCACACUGGUACUGAGACACGGACCAGACUCCUACGGGAGGCAGCAGUGAGGAAUAUUGGACAAUGGGUGAGAGCCUGAUCCAGCCAUCCCGCGUGAAGGACGACGGCCCUAUGGGUUGUAAACUUCUUUUGUAUAGGGAUAAACCUUUCCACGUGUGGAAAGCUGAAGGUACUAUACGAAUAAGCACCGGCUAACUCCGUGCCAGCAGCCGCGGUAAUACGGAGGGUGCAAGCGUUAUCCGGAUUUAUUGGGUUUAAAGGGUCCGUAGCUGAUCUGUAAGUCAGUGGUGAAAUCUCACAGCUCAACUGUGAAACUGCCAUUGAUACUGCAAGUCUUGAGUGUUGUUGAAGUAGCUGGAAUAAGUGUGUAGCGGUGAAAUGC